AGUUGUGUGGUUCAAAGAAAACACGAAUAUUUUUCAGUUUGGAUGGUAACACCUGGUUGGCUGUACCCCAAGUUACAUACUGCAUCUCUGCUCUUAGUAGGAACCAUGCAGUCCUGGGGAAGGCAAGUCCAUGGAAGAAAGCAACAGUGUUUGACAAUGGAUACCAAAUGCUUGCAAAACUACACUUCGUAGGAGGAACAGCUCUUUUCCUUAGCUGAAGUCUCUGCAAACAUUUUACCCAACUAUGAACCCUAAGGAAUAGCAUGAUGACUAUUAUAAUGCAACAGACAAUUUUAGCUAGAGCUUGGAAACCAGUGUCUUCAAGUGUUUCAAGAAGAAGUUACAAG
ensembl:lncRNA